GCCUUCGUGGUGUAGCGGUCAGCACGCUCGACGCGUAACCGAGAGGUCCGUGGUUCAAUUCUCGGCGAGGGCA
rfam:Stegodyphus mimosarum contig13177, whole genome shotgun sequence.